AUUGAACGCUGGCGGCAUGCCUUACACAUGCAAGUCGAACGGUAACGGGCCUUCGGGUGCCGACGAGUGGCGAACGGGUGAGUAAUGCAUCGGAACGUACCUUUCAGUGGGGGGAUAACGUAGCGAAAGUUACGCUAAUACCGCAUAUUCUGUGAGCAGGAAAGCAGGGGAUCGCAAGACCUUGCGCUGAUUGAGCGGCCGAUGUCGGAUUAGCUAGUUGGUGAGGUAAAGGCUCACCAAGGCGACGAUCCGUAGCGGGUCUGAGAGGAUGAUCCGCCACACUGGGACUGAGACACGGCCCAGACUCCUACGGGAGGCAGCAGUGGGGGAAUUUUUGGGACAAAUGGGCGCAAGCCUGAUCCAGCCAUGCCGCGUGAGUGAAGAAGGCCUCGG
rnacentral:rRNA from 1 species